GGCGCUGUGGCCAAGUGGUAAGGCAGGGGCCUGCAAAGCCUUGAUCACCGGUUCAAAUCCGGUCAGCGCCU
rnacentral:tRNA from 1 species